rnacentral:rRNA from 1 species
AGAGUUUGAUCCUGGGCUCAGAUUGAACGCUGGGGCAGGCCUUAACACAUGCCAAGUCGAGCGGUAGAGAGAAACUUGCUUCUCUUGAGAGCGGCGGACGGGUGAGUAAUGCCUAGGGAAUCUGCCUAGUGGUGGGGGAUAACGGUUCGGAAACGGACGCUAAUACCGCAUACGUCCUACGGGAGAAAGCGGGGGACCUUCGGGCCUCGCGCCAUUAGAUGAGCCUAGGUCGGAUUAGCUAGUUGGUGAGGUAAUGGCUCACCAAGGCUACGAUCAGUAACUGGUCUGAGAGGAUGAUCAGUCACACUGGAAUUGAGACACGGUCCAGACUCCUACGGGAGGCAGCAGUGGGGAAUAUUGGACAAUGGGCGGAAGCCUGAUCCAGCCAUGCCGCGUGUGUGAAGAAGGUCUUCGGAUUGUAAAGCACUUUAAGUUGGGAGGAAGGGUAGUAACUUAAUACGUUGCUACUUUGACGUUACCGACAGAAUAAGCACCGGCU